AUGAUGCAACUGUAUUAUUCUUCUACAAUUUUAUAUUGGCAACUCAAGAAACCUAUCUGGGCUUAUUUGCUUAACGGUGAAGUUCAGCUGGAUCAGGUUUCAUCCAGUGUUUCAUCUGACAAAUAUUUUGAGUUUACUAUUCUUAACUACGUUCCAAGCUGCUGUGCUGGUUGUCGGAAAAAAACACCAGGAAGGAGGCACAGUCUGACCACAAGAGGCUGCAUAUCCUCUGCCGAGGGUGGAAAAGAGAUAGACAGCCUCGCCUUGUCUAACAUUACGGUUGGUAAAGGGACAGAUGAAUGCAAACUGAAUUCAAAAAUAUACACUAGAUUUAGAACUCCUAAAGGACAGAGGACGGCCCUCAAGCACUUUCAUGGUAGGUGGUUUAUUUACCGACUGAAUAAAGGUGCCCUCUAGGAUGUAAACUCCACGCGGGCAGGACCUUCACCACCAGCUUUCACAAAGUUCUUGGCACACAACAGGGACUCACCGGCCCAAGGACCCGACAGCUCAACACAGACGCCGUAGCGCGGAGCACAGGGCGAGGACUCGAGCGGGGAACGUCAGGUGACUCGAGCUUCUCUGCACCCCCUCCUCCGUGGCGUUGCAGCGCCGGGCCCGCCCCGACCAGAGUCCUCACCAAUCCGAGAGGGAAGACAAAUUUGGCUAGGCCAGGCGAGGGGCGUGUCCCACCGGCCGAGUCGCCUCGCAGCCGCGUCUAGCCCGGCUCAGCCCACAUGCCCUCCGCUCAGGCGGUUGUCCCGCCCUCCCGGCCCUGACGGUACGCUCCAGAUUGCAAGUGGGAGGUGCAGAGGAGCAAGCGCUGGGCAAAAGCGCAUGCGUACUGACGCAGCGCGGCGGCCCCUGGCGAAGAUUAGGGCGGAGCUUCAGAAAGCGGAGCGCAGGGGAGGGAGAAGUCUCCAGUGCGCGCGCGCAGGGCAGCCCUCUCCAGCCAGACCCACGCGGCGCGGCGUGGUGACGCCCGUGCGGCCCGAGGAAGGGGCGGGGCCGGGGCGGGUCUCCGCGCUCCUCCCGCCCCCUCCCCGGCCGGACUCUCCCUCCCACUCCCUCCCCCACACUGGGCCCCGUCAGCGCGGGGCUGCCUUCGUCGCUUAGCAUCGCGUCGGCCCGGCCCGGCCCGGCCCGGCCAGCGGGCAGAUGCCCCCAGCUGCCGCUGCCGCCGCCGCCGACUCGGCCGGUGGCGGUGUGGGAGGCAGGCGUCCGGCCCCGGGCCGCUGAGUGUGACGGACGGGGCCGGGGCCGCCGGGCGCCGCGGCG
rnacentral:lncRNA from 1 species